UACGUAGGGGGCAAGCGUUGUCCGGAAUCAUUGGGCGUAAAGCGCGUGUAGGCGGCUCGAUAAGUCUGCUGUGAAAGUCCAGGGCUCAACCCUGGAAUGCCGGUGGAAACUGUCGAGCUAGAGUCCGGAAGAGGCGAGUGGAAUUCCUGGUGUAGCGGUGAAAUGCGCAGAUAUCAGGAGGAACACCGAUGGCGAAGGCAGUGGGCUGGGCCGGCACUGACGCUGAGGAGCGAAAGCGUGGGGAGCGAACAGG
rnacentral:rRNA from 1 species